GCGAAUGCCAUGCCAGGAGCGGGGGGAAUACGGGGGGGGUAAGCUGUAGCCGGAUUUAUUGGGUGUAAAGGGUCCGUAGGCGGACCGGUAAGUCAGUGGUGAAAGCCUACAGCGUAACUGUAGAACUGCCGUUGAUACUGUCGGUCUUGAGUGUGGUUGAGGUAGCUGGAAUGAGUAGUGUAGCGGUGAAAUGCAUAGAUAUUACUCAGAACACCAAUUGCGAAGGCAGGUUACCAAGUCACAACUGACGCUGAUGGACGAAAGCGUGGGGAGCGAACAGGAUUAGAUACCCUGGUAGUC
rnacentral:rRNA from 1 species